rnacentral:rRNA from 1 species
UACGAAGGGGACUAGCGUUGUUCGGAAUUACUGGGCGUAAAGCGCGCGUAGGCGGAUCGCUAAGUCAGGGGUGAAAUCCCAAGGCUCAACCUUGGAACUGCCUUUGAUACUGACGAUCUGGAGAUCGGGAGAGGUGAGUGGAAUUCCGAGUGUAGAGGUGAAAUUCGUAGAUAUUCGGAGGAACACCAGAAGCGAAGGCGGCUCACUGGCCCGAUACUGACGCUGAGGCGCGAAAGCGUGGGGAUCAAACAGG